UCUGCCCUGUACAGGAGGAUAGCUCCCCGAAACGGGGGAAUUAACACUCCAUAAUAUUGAGAGGUGGCAUCACCAUUCAAUUAAAAUUACGAUGGUACAGGAUGAGCAUGCGUCUGAUUAGCUAGUUGGUAGUGUAACGGACUACCAAGGCGAUGAUCAGUAGGGGAACUGAGAGGUUGAUCCCCCACACUGGCACUGAGAUACGGGCCAG
rnacentral:rRNA from 1 species